rnacentral:lncRNA from 1 species
UGCUUGUUCUUUCCCAAUUGGUUGUCAAUCUUGAUGCAAUUCAAUUUCUCUUCUUUGCCUCUUGAAUGGAUCUUCACUCUUGCACCCUUUUUUAUCCAGAGAAAAUCCCAGAAAAACGGUUGCCCAUUAGGUUUUUGUCUUGGUAUUUAUAUUAUCUCCGAGUUUUGGAUGGUUAGAGAACAUUUUAGGCCGAGAAAUAUCCAAAAAUUCGAACUCUUC